GCCAUUGCUCAGGGGUAGAGCAUUUGCUUUGCAUGCAGAAGGUCCUGGGUACAAGUCCCUGGUAUCUCCA